AGUGAACGCUGGCGGUAGGCCUAACACAUGCAAGUCGAACGGCAGCACAGUAAUAGCUUGCUCUUACGGGUGGCGAGUGGCGGACGGGUGAGGAAUACAUCGGAAUCUACUUUUUCGUGGGGGAUAACGUAGGGAAACUUACGCUAAUACCGCAUACGACCUACGGGUGAAAGCAGGGGAUCUUCGGACCUUGCGCGAUUGAAUGAGCCGAUGUCGGAUUAGCUAGUUGGCGGGGUAAAGGCCCACCAAGGCGACGAUCCGUAGCUGGUCUGAGAGGAUGAUCAGCCACACUGGAACUGAGACACGGUCCAGACUCCUACGGGAGGCAGCAGUGGGGAAUAUUGGACAAUGGGCGCAAGCAUGAUCCAGCCAUACGGCGUGGGUGAAGAAGGCCUUCGGGUUGUAAAGCCCUUUUGUUGGGAAAGAAAAGCAGCAGGUUAAUACCCCGCUGUUCUGACGGUACCCAAAGAAUAAGCACCGGCUAACUUCGUG
rnacentral:rRNA from 1 species